CAGUUUUUCCCUGGAUUAUGAUAACUGCUCCUUCCUUUGCCUUUUCAGCCCUGGGAGUGGGAGUGAUCUCCUGUCCUUCUUUCACCACGUUGGGCCAGAGGUCCAAAGCUGAAGAUGUCAGCAGAGGUAGUUUCUUCUGGAGAAGACAAGGAAGCAUCUAUUCCCUGCCUUUCUCUCAGCUCCUGGUGGUGGCCAGAAAUUCCUGGUAUUCCUUGGCUUGUGGCAGCAUCACUCCAGUGUCUGUGUUGAAAUGAAAGAUUGUGACACUAAAUCUAUAAUUUAUGCUUUCAUUCAAUCAAAUAAAAGAAAAUAAAUAUCAGUUCAUGAAGUAAACAUAUCUUGAUGAGUAACAGACAUAAACAUGGUAUGAAAUAAAUUAUUUAAUAAACAGUUCACAGCUGUGAUUUGUUUAAUACAUUAUAGUUGACUCACACUGCCUGUUCAAGUUAAUGGCUGAGGAUAAACUGUUUUUGUCAGUAAAAUUUUAUUCAGAUUUAGAAAGAAUAAUGUAGUUUAUGACAGAUUUAACUACAGCCAUCAACUACACACCAUCCUGUUGCCUUCAAAUUAUAUAUUGCACAUGUUUUUAAAAUCUUAAUAUGUCAUAUAAUCAGAAGUGUUUUGUGUUAAUAUAUGGCUUUGUUCAUCUGAUUGCAGCAUUGAAAGAACAGUUUUAUGAGAGUCCUAUAAAAUUCACAGUUUGUUGGAAUACUAAAGAGAGUAAUCACUAUAUUUUAUAGAAUUUUAUUCUGAGAUGAGUUGGAUUUUCUCCAGUGAUUAUUAGGUGGAGUG